UUACGCUGCAAAAAUACACGAAACGGUUCUCCUUCAACAUCUUUUUCCAAUUCAGAUCCAAUUUCUUUUCUCAAUGCAAACCCUUCAAUUCUUAUCCUCUCUCCUUUUAUAUUCGAAUGCACAUCGACGGCAUGUUGCCUCGCCGGUCGGAGAUACCGCUGGAAAAAUUUAAUAUCUGGCAUUAGGUAAACACAUCCUAUCUCUCUCUCUCUCUCCAUUUCACAUUAGGUCGAACUUUUCCUCCAUUUCCUCCAUCAUCGUCUUCCUCGCUCCUCUUUCUCUCAUCUCCCGCAAAGAUGUCUAUCUCGGUCACUACAUCACCGUUGGAAAUUUAUGUGCUUCAGUAGAAGAGUGGACAGUUGGUAGAACCGAACUCACCUCACUUAUGGAUGUGGAGAGGAGAUAUGUUUGGCGGCAAUCAAUGGAAACUUCGACUGGAUCAAUAUCAUCACUAUCUGCUGGAUUGGGACCUAGCGAAUAUGUGAGCGGAUGCAUUAAAACUUCUUUGAUGGUGGUUUUGGCUCUCAUCACUUAUAUGCUGCUCAUGGUUUCACUUUAUGCAUAAGAGCAGAAGAUAACGGAAAAUGCUAUGUCAGAGAGUGCAGAAGAAUGUUUUGCUAAUGGUAUGGACUCAUUUCUAUCAAAACCUUUGUGUGCAUGAAGAUGACGACAAAUGCUUUGUGAGAGAAUGCAGAAGAAUGUUUUGCUAAUGUAUCAAAACCUGUGAGUUUAGAAAAAUUGAAAGAGUGUAUUGAACGAUAUUCUUAAGGUGAUAAUAACUUUGUAGUUCUUUUUUUUGUACAAAAGUGUAGUAUAA